AGGCAGCCACUGGAAGAAAGAAGCGCUCGGUGCAAGUUUGCGUUAGAAGGAUCGCCUUGCGCCACGUGAGGGAUCUCUGCACUUUAUCGCAAAUGUUAGGUCUUGUGGGUCACAAGAUGUACAGUUGUUGAAUAAUCUUCUAAGACAGAAACAGAAUACCAGGAUGCAUCAAUGCAUAUUGCUUCUAAAGAAGAUUACAUAGAGGUGAUCUGCUUAGGAAACAGCCAUAGCUUAGAUCUGCACCACCCACGAGUUUAAAAAUACUGUAAAUAACGCUCAUCAUAUUGGUAAGCCGACACGCUUGCAGCAUGUAUUUUCAUGCAGUGAAACAGUAAGUAUCAAUGUCUUGCUUUGUAUUCUUGUACCCUGUUGUUUAGCUGCACACAAUAUGUUGGCACUCUAUCAAUGAUAACUUGAUAAAAUAGAAUUAAACAGCGUGUUCUUGAACAAUUCAAGCACAUUAUACUGAGCUGUAUGCAUUCUUUACAGGGAACUCAACAUAUAAUGCUACAUUACAAAUGAAAUACAUGCCACUAAAUCUUCUUUUUAUGCACGCGACCCUUUUGGGUACCUUGGCUCCUUUUAUCCCAGGCAUGUAUUAUCUGAAAAGGAAGGCUCUUUGCAUUCUUUUGCACACCCUUUGCUUGUGAUCAAUCUGAGUCUGGUAAGCUGGUGUGCAACUGAUAUUAAACACUAGUUGCUGCCCAUGUUAUUGAAGUUGGCCAUGGUAUACAUCAACUUAAAUAUCAAGUAGUUGAUCAUGUACCUACGUGGGGGAGACCGAGUGAAGUUACUUUUGAGAAAAGAGGCUAUUUGGAUUAGAAAAUUAGAUACAUUAGCUCCACAGGGGCUGAAUAGAGAAUAUGAUCUCCAAGCUAUUUUUCGCUAACUUUGGUUUUAAUUAUUUUUUAAUUGUUUUUAUUGUAUUAUGUCUUCCAGACCUUUGUGGACAAAAUGAUCGGGGUUAACCUGUACAAAGAGAUUUGCAGUGUACGCGUAUCCACAUAUGAAAAAAAGCACGAGAAAAGGGCUACAUUAGCUUUAACGGAAAAAUAUUCCUUACCUGCAACCCUGCUGAGAAAAUUGUACCCAUCAGAGUAAAUGUUGUUUAAUCCUAAAACUGAAGGGAAUCAGUGCUAGUCGCAUUUCCAUUGUGCACAAUUACAAUUUUUCUUUUCACUGUCAUCAGUCACACAGAAUACAUCUUGAUAAACAAUGAAUCUGAAAAGAAACAAUCAAGGAAAAUACUUUAAUCGGUGCCUUUACAGUUUGUCUAGCAUACCCUAAAAUUGUAUAUUGUUAUGGAAGAGUAAUCUAUGACUCUUUCUCCACAUUUAUACUCCUUUUUUAUGUUAAAAGUGGAACAGAUCUUCUUAUAUCAUAUGUUUCACAAGUAGUUUUUAUGGUUUGCACAUAUGUAUGCAAAAAGCAGCCGAUAUGCUUAUUUCUACUAGUAGAUAAAGUAACUGUGUUUCAGGACUGGACUUCCACCAGUAGCAUUUCACUGAGGUACUAAGGGUUUAUUACCUGAAAGCUAUUAAUCACUAUUUGUGCACUUACAUGGGUGGUAUGUGUUUAGGUCAGGACCAAACUACAGUAAUUUUUACUUCUGCUGCUGCUGCCAUUUUUGUUGAUAGUAAAAUGUAUCUUUUCUGUGCAACAAAAUUCUUUUUUUUCCGCUUCUUCAGGUGACUAAUCUCCCCGAAUUGCCUCCCCUGCCUUCUCGUCAGCUAAAAUGUAAAUCGCUGAUCGUAUUGCAUUCAGCGCGAUUCAUUUUCCGAAGUCGCCUAAAGUUUCCUCUUGAGGUAACUUCCAGUGACUUUGGAAAAUGAAUUGCGCCGAGUGCCAACCCACCGACAAUUUGCAUUUUAGCCAGGCAGUUCAGGGGAGAUUAGUGGCCCCGAAGAAGAGGAGAUUUGUUGCCGGACUAAUCUCCCUGAAUCUUCCUGUGUGCCCUGACCCUAACACAAGUGCUAGGACCAUGCAAGUGUUAAUGAUGAACAAAGGAAGCCAGGUCUAAAUCAGUAUCAUUAGCCCAUCUCUAAAGGCCAAAGGGGCUAAACAUAAGAAAAUAUAUGCCUUAUGAUUGGUGCACUUUUUCACAGUUCUUCUACAAAAAAAUAAUAACUUCAUAUUGCCCCUUUUCUUUAUAAAGACUUGCUACUUCUCCUUUUAUGUAUAAAAGUAAAAUAGGUCAUAGUAACUGAGCAUUUAUCAGUCAGUUUUUAUUUAAUUGCCCAACCUUUUUGCAUUAACUUCGUAAUAGUGAGCUCAUAGACCUAGAGGUAAACAUUUUAUAUGCGUUUUUCAUUUUAUCUCAAAGAUAAUCUGCAUUACUAGGGUCAGUUAUUUUUCUUUCCAUAUAUCUGUAGCAUGACAUUUGUCCUCCAUUUUGCAUUGUAAUCCAUAAAUCUUACAAUCACCUAUAAGUUUCUGUUAACUGAUUUAUAUCAGUAGUUCCUCAGCAAAAUGUUUAAUGGGAUUAUCUUAGAAACAAAUCUAAAUGCAUCAGAGUUGCUAGAUAAGACUACUUGUUUUGGGAAUUGCAUUAUCAUGUGCCAACAUGGCUGCCAUCUGGAUUGUGUUAUCUGGCGUUUCAAAGCUGCAUUUUUCUGGAUUUCUUUCUCUUUGUAGAGCUGUGUGUGGCUGGGUUUCCUGGAGCAAUCUUCGUAUGCUUGUUCUAUUCUUAGCAGACCCCAUUCUAUUCAUCUCUAUUUUUGCAUUACUGAAAAAGCCACAAAACUAUGAUUUCCUCCAGCAUUGAAAAUAAACCUAAAUUCCUGUGCAUAGCGUUACUGCUGAAUUAUCCCAUUGUGUUUCAUGAAACAACUUCAGUUAUAUAAACAACACUUUAGCAAUAUGGAAUAACGGAAGGAGUAAAAAUAAUCUGUUAUCCAUC